UACGAAGGGUGCAAGCGUUAAUCGGAAUUACUGGGCGUAAAGCGUGCGUAGACGGUCAAGUAAGUCGGGUGUGAAAGCCCCGGGCUCAACCUGGGAAUUGCAUUCGAGACUGCGUGGCUAGGGUGCGGAAGAGGGAAGCGGAAUUUCCGGUGUAGCGGUGAAAUGCGUAGAUAUCGGAAGGAACACCAGUGGCGAAAGCGGCUUCCUGGUCCAGCACCGACGUUCAGGCACGAAAGCGUGGGGAGCAAACAGG
rnacentral:rRNA from 1 species